rnacentral:rRNA from 1 species
CGGAGGGUCCAAGCGUUAUCCGGAAUCAUUGGGUUUAAAGGGUCCGUAGGCGGUUUUGUAAGUCAGUGGUGAAAGCCCAUCGCUCAACGGUGGAACGGCCAUUGAUACUGCAAGACUUGAAUUAUUGGGAAGCAACUAGAAUAGUGUAGUGUAGCGGUGAAAUGCUUAGAUAUUACAUGGAAUACCAAUUGCGAAGGCAGGUUGCUACCAAUACAUUGACGCUGAUGGACGAAAGCGUGGGGAGCGAACAGGAUUAGAUACCCUGGUAGUCCACGCCGUAAACGAUGGAUACUAGCUGUUCGGAGCAAUCUGAGUGGCUAAGCGAAAGUGAUAAGUAUCCCACCUGGGGAGUACGUUCGCAAGAAUG